UUCUAGCAAAUAACCAUACAAUCAAACUCUAUGACACCAUAUGGGAAUUAGAUUAGAUUAAGUAUAGAAGUUAUCAAAAUUUAAGAGGAUAAAAGAGGCGAUCGAAAGUUUGAUAUCCCAAUUUUCUUUUACAAGUAUAUGUAAAACCCCGAAAAUUUGAAUAUUUUAUGAUAAAGAAUGAUAAAUAUGUUAUAUGGUGAAAAUUAAUAUAUUUUGAUGUUUGAAUAUGAUAAGAAUUAAUUUGAGAUCAAUUCAAUAUAUAUUUGUAAAUAUAUGAGUGCAUAUGUGCAAGUCAUGCACAAAGGCCAAAAGAGAAAUCUGAGAUUUAUGACUAGUUAUAAGUUUCUAUUUUUUACGCACUGAUGCAAUUGGAAUCUAAGAAAGUGUAAAAGGUCAAAGUUGUAUAUCUCUUCAAUAUCUUUCCAAUAAAUCUUAAAUCACCUCAUUUGGAGUUCGGACGAGAAAGUUAUGGCCAAUAUACCGAACCCCAGCUUGUGUACAUGUUUCUAUACGAUCAACUGCUGGGCGUGCAGACGCUAGGAUUAUGUCUGUUUCGGGUUGGUUUUGUUUAUACCGAACCCAUGAGUAUAGCUAAGUAUAUAUAUCCAUUUUGAAGCUCUCAGAACCCUCUUUUAUACCCUAAACCCCCUUUCUUUGGCGAUUCUUGGAGAAUUUUGGAGGAGUUGACGUGAGAUCCAUCGGUGUUCAGCGAAGGAGGAUCGUUCUCACUUGUCUUUGGUAGUUCAUCAACACCCCUCAGGUAACGAGCCAGGUGCACGGAGAGCCGUAGGUUGAUGGAAUUAUUCUAGUAGUUAUUUAUCUAUAUUGUUAGUAGUUUAUGUCAGAACUCCAUAGUAGAUGUGUUUAUGAAUAUUUGAGUUAUCAUUCUAGUUUUGUAAAGGCGAUAUGCCUAAAUAUUAUUUCAUUUGAUUUCCUAUGUCGAGACACUUGUAUUCAGUCAAAUGUUAUUUCUCUCAAAGAUUGGUCUAUUUAUUUC